ensembl:lncRNA
GGGGAGUGUCAGGCAGAAGGUAUGUUAACAAUGAAUUAAUGUAGGCAGUAAAUUUACGCGUGUCGUCAUAUAGGAAUACAGUUUUGUUUACUAACAAACAGCACACAGUGGUCCAGCUGUCCAGCUGUCCAUCUGUUGCUGCCUCGCCUUUCCGCAGAUUUCUCGUCAUUGCACCGGACAGCUAUCAACAAUGCGCAUUGCAUUCUGCAGCCCAAUUGACAAAUCCCCUCCGUGUCGUGUCUCCUGCGCUUGCCAAACCUAGCAUGUUUGGUUGUGAUAACCAUCACGUCCAACAGGAAAAUGAGCACAAAAACAAGCAUAAACUAUGACCCUCAUUCGGAAAUGCACACCUGCACCAUGAGGGGAAAAGGCGCACGAACAUGGCGCACAGACGGAGGAAAAGCGCGCCAUAACAAUACGUUCACGUGUAAAAUCGGUUUGCACUUUGAGAAUCAACUUGUGUGAACUGCGACUACUGUCCAUGUGCUACAAUACAUGAGAAACCACUGCAAAUAAUCCCUCUCUGACUAUUGGUUUCAACCUGGUAACAUGUAAUAUUGUCCUGAAAGAGACAACUGAUGAUGCAGCAGAGCAAACACCUGUUGCUCCCUCUGGCUCCCCAGUCCCUGGUCCCUCCACCCCUGCUGCUGCACCCACAGGCCCACAGAGGAGGACAGCUCGAAGGCGCUCGACGGACCGGUCCCAGGAUGGUCCAUCGGCGGUGGAGCUGGCCAUCCUGGAGUCCCUAAAGAGGCCCCGCCUGUCAACAACAGAGCAUUUCCUCCUCAGCCUUGCUCCUGCCCUGGAGAGCAUGCCGCCGCCGACACGGGAAUCCGUGAAAUUUCAAAUCUAUAAAUUAGUUUAUGAAAACAGCACAGCUGUGUUAAAUCUGGAAACAUUGGACCCCACUGAUCAGUAGUUUUCUGAUGAGGCAGCAGGCUCUCCAGGGCAGGAACAAUGUUGCUUUCUCUGUCCUCCCCCUCCCCGAGGCUCUUCCACUCCAAGCUGGGUGCU